GAGUUUGAUCGUGGCUCAGGACGAACGCUGGCGGUAUGCCUAAUACAUGCAAGUCGAGCGCAGAAAGCAGACCGAAGCCUUCGGGUGGAUGUCUGUGGAAUGAGCGGCGGAUGGGUGAGUAUCACGUGGGUAACCUGCCUGUAAGCUUGGGAUAACUCCGGGGAAACCGGUGCUAAUACCAGAUAAGAUUUCCGUUCGCAUGAACGGAAAAUGAAAGGCGGCUUUUGCUGUCACUUGCAGAUGGACCCGCGUCGCAUUAGCUAGUUGGUGGGGUAAAGGCUCACCAAAGCAACGAUGCGUAGCCGACCUGAGAGGGUGAUCGGCCACACUGGGACUGAGACACGGCCCAGACUCCUACGGGAGGCAGCAGUAGGGAAUCUUCCGCAAUGGACGAAAGUCUGACGGAGCAAUACCGCGUGAGUGAUGAAGGUCUUCGGAUCGUAAAACUCUGUUGUUAAGGAAGAACAAGUGCUAAUCUAAUACAUUAGUGCCCUGACGGUACCUAACCAGAAAGCCCGG
rnacentral:rRNA from 1 species